GACGAACGCUGGCGGCGUGCUUAACACAUGCAAGUCGAACGGAAAGGCCCUGCUUUUGUGGGGUGCUCGAGUGGCGAACGGGUGAGUAGCACGUGAGUAACCUGCCCUUGACUUUGGGAUAACCUCAGGAAACUGGGGCUAAUACCGGAUAGGAGCUCCUGCUGCAUGGUGGGGGUUGGAAAGUUUCGGCGGUUGGGGAUGGACUCGCGGCUUAUCAGCUUGUUGGUGGGGUAGUGGCUUACCAAGGCUUUGACGGGUAGCCGGCCUGAGAGGGUGACCGGCCACAUUGGGACUGAGGUACGGCCCAGACUCCUACGGGAGGCAGCAGUGGGGAAUAUUGCACAAUGGGCGGAAGCCUGAUGCAGCAACGCCGCGUGCGGGAUGACGGCCUUCGGGUUGUAAACCGCUUUCGCCUGUGACGAAGCGUGAGUGACGGUAAUGGGUAAAGAAGCACCGGCUAACUACGUG
rnacentral:rRNA from 1 species